GAUGAACGCUGGCGGCGUGCCUAAUACAUGCCAGUCGAGCGAACAGACGAGGAGCUUGCUCCUCUGACGUUAGCGGCGGACGGGUGAGUAACACGUGGAUAACCUACCUAUAAGACUGGGAUAACUUCGGGAAACCGGAGCUAAUACCGGAUAAUAUAUUGAACCGCAUGGUUCAAUAGUGAAAGACGGUUUUGCUGUCACUUAUAGAUGGAUCCGCGCCGCAUUAGCUAGUUGGUAAGGUAACGGCUUACCAAGGCGACGAUGCGUAGCCGACCUGAGAGGGUGAUCGGCCACACUGGAACUGAGACACGGUCCAGACUCCUAAGGGAGGCAGCAGUAGGGAAUCUUCCGCAAUGGGCGAAAGCCUGACGGAGCAACGACGCGUGAGUGAUGAAGGUCUUCGGAUCGUAAAACUCUGUUAUUAGGGAAGAACAAAUGUGUAAGUAACUAUGCACGUCUUGACGGUACCUAAUCAGAAAGCCACGGCUAACUACGUG
rnacentral:rRNA from 1 species